UACGUAGGGGGGCAAGCGUUUGUCCGGAUUUAUUGGGGCGUAAAGAGCGUGUAGGCGGUUUGGUAGGUCCGCUGUGAAAACUCGAGGCUCAACCUCGAGACGCCGGUGGAAACCAUCAGGCUAGAGUCCGGAAGAGGAGAGUGGAAUUCCUGGUGUAGCGGUGAAAUGCGCAGAUAUCAGGAAGAACACCCCGUGGCUAAGGCGGCUCUCUAGUACGGUACUGACGCUGAGACGCGAAAGCGUGGGGGAGCGAACAGG
rnacentral:rRNA from 1 species